AGUGGCGGCGGGCCCGCGCGGUGCCCGCGACUAGCAGCGAGAUGUCCUGGCCCCUUCCAGGUUUGGAGAUGGCCUUGGGAGAGCAACCUCCGGACCUCAGCAGUGUGAGGAUGACAACAGUACCCUGUGGUGCUGUCCCCACUCAGGUUGGCUGCCAUCCCUGCUGAUGGAGAGAGGCUGAAGUCUGUCUGAGAAGAUAGUGCCGGCAGCUACUUAGCUGGUACUAAUUGUAUUUGCAGAGUAGGGGGUUUCUCUCUGUAGCCCUGACUGUCCUGGAACUCACUCUGCAGACCAGGCUGUCCUCAAGCUCAGAGAUCUACCUGCCUCUGCCUCUGAAGUACUGGGAUUAAAGAUGCAGAGGCCUCCCAGAGAAGUGUGAAGGAAUGGGCCUUAACCAGGGUUGAAGAAAGAAAGUGAAGAAGGGGAGAGCCCAAGGAAAGGUGGGGACAGUAGGAACUUUUGUUUACACUGGUCUACUACUCAUGUAUCGUAUGCUAUAAUCUCCAAAUUCCACAUUUAUUGUAGCUGUCUGCAGUGUGUAUGCCCCGGCCGCAUGCUGCUUGGCUAAAAAAGUGUUAAAUAAAACUGUAAGAAACGCU
ensembl:lincRNA Lhx1os LIM homeobox 1, opposite strand